GAUGAACGCUGGCGGCGUGCUUAACACAUGCAAGUCGAACGAGAAAUGAUAUUACGAUCUCUUCGGAGUGACGGUUUUAUUUCGAGUGGCGGACGGGUGAGUAACGCGUGAGCAACCUGCCCUAUACCGGGGGAUACCAGUUGGAAACGACUGUUAAUACCGCAUAAGCGCACGAUAAGACAUCUUGUUGUGUGAAAAACUCCGGUGGUAUAGGAUGGGCUCGCGUAUGAUUAGCCAGUUGGCGGGGUAAAGGCCCACCAAAGCGACGAUCAUUAGCCGACCUGAGAGGGCGACCGGCCACAUUGGGACUGAGACACGGCCCAAACUCCUACGGGAGGCAGCAGUGGGGAAUAUUGCACAAUGGGCGAAAGCCUGAUGCAGCGACGCCGCGUGAGUGAGGAAGUAUUUCGGUAUGUAAAGCUCUAUCAGCAGGGAAGAAAGAAAUGACGGUACCUGAGUAAGA
rnacentral:rRNA from 1 species